rnacentral:lncRNA from 1 species
AACAAUAAAAUAUAUCUUGAACAUAUUAGAUUACUUAGAAGAUAAUUGGAGGACAUUACAUUAUUAGAAAGAUGAUUAUAGCAACAAAAAAACCCAAAACAAAAUCUGAUUAAAAUUCUAUAUAUAGAGACUUUCAUAAACUCAUUGAGGGAGCUUAAGAACCCUUUAGGAGACCUAAUAAUUUCAUUCUCUCCACCAUCUUUCAUGUUCUCCACCCUCUCUUAUUAUAUUUUGAUGUUAUUUUUACAUUUCUUGGAGUGUUAAGCCUUUAGAGUGAUUUUGUUGUAACUUUUAACUAGAUUUUGAUGUUAGAUGAAUAAAUUUGUUUAUUCUUUUGAUUCUUGUGAUUUAUUUUUGUCUAUCUCUUUUGUCUCU